GAUGAAGAACGCAGCGAAAUGCGAUAAGUAAUGCGAAUUGCAGAAUUCCAGUGAGUCAUCGAAUCUUUGAACGCACAUUGCGCCCUUUGGUAUUCCGAAGGGCAUGCCUGUUCGAGCGUCAUUAUCACCCCUCAAGCCCUCGGCUUGGUGUUGGACGGUUUGGUGGAGGCCCCCUCGGGGGUUCCUGCCCCUCCCAAAGACAAUGACGGCGGCCUCGUUGGACCCCCGGUACACUGAGUUCUUCACGGGACACGUAUCGGACACAUGGGUUUACGGGACACGGUCUGCCUCCCCUCGGGGAGAAUCUUUCUAAGGUUGACCUCGGAUCAGGUAGGGAUACCCGCUGAACUUAAGCAUAUCAAUAAGCGGAGGA
rnacentral:misc_RNA from 1 species